UGCUCAGAUAUUUAUUUUAAAUCUACUAAACUCCAAGCAACAAAACAUUUUCAGCAACCGGAGCAUAUUGCAGAAGAAUAAGGAAGUGGAGCUUGCUGCCGUCUUAAAUGCUCUUCACAGAGAUGAACUGUGCUUCAGGUUAAUCUGGAGGGUAAAGCCAGCCCCUGCUGCGAGUGCGAUGUGAGCAAAGGAUACACUCCAGCACUGCCUUUUCUUUGGAUGACGAAUGCCAUUUCCUUUCCUGCCUCUUUCCCGAGUCCACAGAGUAUGAUUUGAGGAUGUGACCUAGAAGCAUUGUCUCAUUUUGGAAACAGAUAACAUUUGACAUACAAUGAUAAUCUACACGAAGGCCAGGGAGAGAGCUCCAUAUUUACAGUACUUGUCUUGCAGGUACAAGGACUUGAGUUUGAUCUCUAGAAUCCAAGAUAAAAUUCUGGGUGUGAUGGCAGGCACUUGUAAUUCUAGGGAGGCAGAGUCUGGCAAAGCCCUGGGCCCUGUGCCCAGCUAGCCUAGCUACUUCAUGAGCACCAGGCCAAUGGGAGACCGUGUCUCAAUGGGGAAAGGUGACUCCUGAGGCACAACCCCUGAGGCUGUUCUCUGGCCUCCACAUGUCAGUGCAUGUGCAUGCACAUCACAUCUGCAUAUGCAGACAUAGCUACACUCCCCACAUAAUCACAUUUACUACAGUGAUCCCACAGGAAAUCAUUGGAACCCAUUUACAAAUGGGUCGAUUAUUUGGUCCUGGUUCUGUUUGUUUUAUUCGCCUAGAUCCUGGUGGGUAUCGUGUAUCCCAUAGCCAGACCCUCCUUUACUUAUCAAACAUUAAAAGUGAGGUUUAUGGCUGCGCUGUUGACUACAGUGUGGGGGUGGGGGGAACUAGGAACAUGGUUGUAGGAAUGAAGACUUUGGUCCCUUUCUCUAUCCCUCUCUCAGGUCUCAGAUCUACAUUCUUCCUGCUCCUUUGCUCACAAGGUUCAAUGCCAGGACUCUCAUGAGCACAGCUGCAGGUAGUGUCAUGGAAAAGGAGCUCCCCCACCCCUCUCUCCUGUCUCUGGACACAGAUACAAAGUGGUUUGGAAGACUUGCAUCUUCAUCCCUUCCUCAUUGGCUUAUUUGCUCAGAUGCUUUGAGCGUUUUCUCCAGUCAAUCCUGUUUAAUCACUGUAUGAAGUAUCCAGGCCAGCACUCACUGCCUGUCCAUCAAAGUGCAGUGCAGGGAGGGGCGGGGCUCAUUUCCUAGAGGAAGUAACCCCAGGGGUCCACAGAAGAGACAAUGUGCCUGGCUUUGAGCACAGAAUUGGAGUCUAGGAAAGCUGACUUCUUUGCAUUGCAGCAAGGCAGAAUGGGGUUCAUCUGGCUUCUUGGUACUUUCUAGCUCUGCAAACUUGGUCUUGGGUAGAAUCUGUUAAGCUCUGCUUGGAUGGUACAGGGACUGUGAAUCCUAGUGUGGUCUGUUAGAAUUCCCCCACCUGUUUUCUAUUUGGCCCAGAGAAGUUGUGAUCAGAACACUCUGUCUAAUCAUGCCUGCUCUCUAGGUAAGAGGAAUAGGGCUCUGCAAACCACCAUAGUGAAUAAUCACACCAAAUAUGGACACAUAUUUGGAAUGUUUGGACACAGAGGAAUGUUUCCCCACCGUCAGGAACUGUGGAGAAGCUGGAGGUGGAGAUGGGUGGAGAUGAGGAAUCCCUAGCUUUCUGAUCAAGCAGUGCCAGUCAAUUCUCCACCAAGGCGCACAGCACAGAGCGGAUGUAUAAACUCAGCAUUUAUACAUGUGCACACACUACCAGAUCCAUUAAAUAUCCCUGUGUCCCAUCCAGAGGUACCAAAUUAACUGUGGGUAUCGAUAGAGCAGCCUUGUUUCCUUGGGCCUGUGUGCUUGGUACAUAGUAUGUCUUGUACAUAGAAUCUUCUUUCUCUGUCAAAUCCCUGGUGCUCCAUGUAGAGUCAGCCCUAGAGUCCCAUCUUCUAGGAAGUCUUCUGUGCCCUACCCCAUAUAUAUGCAGAGCUCAUAUCAAGUGCCAAUUACGCUUGUAGCAUCCUCAUCCUUCAUUGUUGCUUAGGGUUCUGCGUCAGUGCCCCAUGCACCUGUCACCCCACCUCCUAGAAGGGUAAACUUUGUCUUGUCAUUGCACAUGAAUGAUUGGUGACAGGCACACACAAGUGUCCAGGAGUUACUUGAUGAAUGCAUGAGUAGGUGACUGGCCUUGAGACUGAGCUUGACGUGUACACUAAGAACUCGUUUUUUAUGGAAUGAAAUGUUUGUUUGUCUUUUUAGUACUCUCAUGGUUUUUCUAUCAAGCACAUUACCCUAAUCUACACUUAUCUUCAAUGUUCAAUCUCAAUAAUUCCUUUUCUGAGGGAGGCGCUCCAGAGGGCUUCUGGCGGCGUGCAGACUCCCGGUUUACUUAUCUCUGGGUAAGUCUCCAUUUCCCCAUGGGGAGGGACUAAGCUGCAUCUAUGGGACUUCUGGUGGUAGAGACUAAGCAGGGAUCUAGACUGAGUUGGGGAAGCUGAACGGGGCCACCCCUGCUGGCUAGGAGAAAAUGUAAGCUCAGAUUGAAUGUUUAACCUCCUAGUUACUUUCUUCAUGUGUUGAUAUUUUUUAGUGUGGUAUUUGACCAAAGAUGUGUAGCACUUAGUUACCCUGCACCUAAGAGCUAAAAGUCAAAAGACUUGUAUGUGUGUAUGCCUGUGUAUAUAUGUAUACAUGUGUAUAUAUGCAUGCAUGUAUAUGAAAUACAUAUAUACAUAUGUGUAUAUAGUUUGUUCACUUGGAAUACCUUUUACGUCCAAAAUGGUAAAAGAAAAAUCUUGUUACACUGGACUUGUGUUUGUCAACUAGAUUGAUCACCUCUCUGUCUCCUAAACAAUGCCUCUUAAGUGAUUUUCCCCAAGAAACUUGGCAGUCUGUGAAAUCCACCUUGUAUUUUGACUUUAGGACCUAGUUUUGAGUGUAUGGCUCCAUUGUUUGGGACACUGACCUCUGAAGGUGUUUACAAUGUCUAUUUCUACUUUACUGCCAUUCUCAUUCUGUAUAAGCCAGUGGCUGUUUUAUAAGGUUCACAGAAUCCUGAGCUGCUUAGAGAAAAUCUGCUUGGAACACGUCCCAAACAAGGCCUUUGUGGCAUGUGUCAGAGCGCAGUAGAUGGCUUCAGAGUGAUCCCUGGAACCCUCUUUGCAGCCUCGUGUUCUUGACUGACUAUAGGUCCUGCUUAUAACACAGUAAGAGCUGCAAUAAGAGCUUCAGCUGGAGAACUGGCCCGAAGACAGGCCUGGGCCUCAUCACCAGCUGGAGCUGAACUGAAGCUGUCAGAGUGCAUGAGAGAUGGAAGGUGUUGAUGAGAUGCACAGGGCCCAGGUGAGAUGCAUGGGCCCAGGUGAGAUGCAUAGGGCCCAGGUGAGAUGCAUGGGCCCAGGUGAGAUGCAUAGGGCCCAGGUGAGAUGCACAGGGCCCAGGUGAGAUGCACAGGGCCCAGGUGAGAUGCACAGGGCCUAGGUGAGAUGCAUAGGGCCCAGGUGAGAUGCACAGGGCCCAGGUGAGAUGCACAGGGCCCAGGUGAGAUGCAUGGGCCCAGGUGAGAUGCAUAGGGCCUAGGUGAGAUGCACAGGGCCCAGGUGAGAUGCAUAGGCCCAGGUGAGAUGCACAGGGCCCAGGUGAGAUGCAUAGGGCCCAGGUGAGAUGCACAGGGCCCAGGUGAGAUGCACAGGGCCCAGGUGAGAUGCACAGGGCCCAGGUGAGAUGCACAGGGCCCAGGUGAGAUGCACAGGGCCCAGGUGAGAUGCACAGGGCCCAGGUGAGAUGCACAGGGCCCAGGUGAGAUGCACAGGGCCCAGGUGAGAUGCACAGGGCCCAGGUGAGAUGCACAGGGCCCAGGUGAGAUGCAUGGGCCCAGAUUCCUAUUCUUUCCUACAUCCCAUACGCAAGCAGAGGUGUUGUAAAAUCUGAAGUCUUUUGAACGUUUGCAGAGCCUGUGAUGAAGGAACUAAAACGGGAUAGGGAUCCUCAGAGUAUUUCCCACAAGCACUUCAGUGAGAGAGGCAAGAGGCCUUAACUUCUCUCCUCAUUUAAAGGUGACCCUUCUCUCCCAGUAGGCCUUCCAGCUCCUUCUGGGGUAAAAUAGAUUUUGAUGGUAUAACCCAGCAUUUUAAGUGUCUAAGCUAGAUGGUGGCCAUAUUGGAUAACUGGAUAUAAAAUUCCCUCUGGAAUCCAUGAGACUCCCCAUCCAGAAGAGUGACCAGAACUUCCAUACUGCCUGGCUUGAGAUGAUUCUCAGCAGGAGUACUGAAGUGUCAUCUCCUCCUCUGGGUGUGUGUGUGUGUGUGUGUGUGUGUGUGUGUGUGUGUGAAAGAGAGAGAGAGAGAGAGAGAGAGAGAGAGAGAGAGAGAGAGGAUGAGGAGGGGGAGGAAGGGAGAGGAGCAGACGGAAUCCCUGCAUAGGUAUAAGCACAGACACACACAGUCUAUCCUAUUAUACAGAGUCCAUGCCUACAAACUGGUCCAGGAGCUGUAAUGGAGAUGGAUGGGAUGGUGGAUUUUUUGAACUACUUUCCUGUUGCGCAUGUUGCCAGCUGAGGUCAAAUAAGGCAACGACACUGCCUUCUCACUGCAGUAUAUUAGAAACACAUGUCAUUUCUGCGGGGCUAGUGUCUCAUUUGCCCCACAUUUGUGGACCAUUUGUGAGUGAUUUUGCUAUUUAACACAGCCCUCCAGCACUGCGCUAAAAUUCUGCGUGUCAUUUCCAGGUACAAAAUAACAUGCGAUGUAUGGGGGGAAAGUGUACAUGUCAGACACAAGUGCCAGCUCUGUUGGCCUGAAUCUCAAUGCUAAGGAACCAGCAUUGUCAAGAGGCCAAUUUACUUAUAUUUAUUUAUAUUUUAAAGUGUCAUGACCAAAGUUUACAGGAAUGUGGCUGGCAUUCCCCCAAGGAACAGUGGUCCAGUAUUUGCCAGGCCAGUUUCUGUGAUGACUUUACAGUCAUCUUUACUUUAACCGCCUCAGAGGACCAGCACUGACUAUGCAAACCAAUGAAGGAGCAAGAUUUCCGUAUCUGAGAGCUCUUGGCUGAGGUGGUGUGGCAGAGUCGUCGGUGCUCAGUGUGUCCUCACAUGGGCUGUUGUGCCACGUUGACAGGUGAAUAAGACAGUUGGUCUAAGGUGACAAUGCUGUCCAGGAAGCUGUGAGUUGGGCCUGGAGCUCCUGGAAACAGUGCUUCUAACGGAGUGACUUUGUACCUCAGAGGGCAUGUGGGGAUGUCCAGAUUACUGUGGGUAGGAAGGAGCAUUCCUACUAGAAUCGGAUGGUUAAAGGGCAGGAGUGUGGCUUAGCAUCCUACAGUGUACAGGACCCAUGACUUCGAUCGUGCUAGAACUAGGACUCCCUGAUUCAGGUGGAAGCAGCUUCCUGAAGGUAGUCUGUCUGCCCGCCAUCUGCAGUCACAGCCCAGUGUGCCUGUAGACAGGCCAGAGGACAAGGGAAUGUUGUGACAGCCAUGAAUAAUGUUUUCACUGUGGGUUCCGGGUACAUUUCCUGUGCUGGAAAAUUCCACAGUAUGUCUAGAAACAUCAGCAAAGGUGUUUCCUCUGGCCUGUCAUCACUCCAGGCUCCAGGCUGACUUUUAUUGUAAACUUUCUGUAUUAGACCAGAUGCAUUCUGUCUAGGAGUUAAGUCCUCACAGGACAGCCAGCAUAGAUAGGUAGCAAGUUAGCAAUGAGUGUCAGCAUCCCUGACCCUGAGAGGUCAGGCUGGGGCACCCAGAGCUUUCUUUGAAGACUCAAGAGAUAGCUCUCCUGGUUUAAUGUGAGUUUGGGGCCUCUGCAAGCUUCUCUGUCUUUGGGUCUGGAGCCCGAAUUCUCCCCCUUGCUUCUCUUUCUCUCUCAUUGUUAUGCAAGCUUAGACAGCUCCCCUCAUUUCUGUUUUGUGCUGUUCUAUUUGAGAAGGAAUAAGUCUUCAUCCUAGGUAAUUUAUCAGAUUAAGUGAUUCCAUGCAAACAGUGCCUGGAAAGGAGCAUGGAGAGUAGUUCACACAGCCAGAGCUGAGGCUGGCUUCUGUUCCCAUUUAAGGAAGUCAGAAGAAAAGAACAUAAAAGUGAGGGCCCUGGUCUGGAGCGGAGGUUAUGCACAGGCAGUCAGCUAGGCUGUAGCAUUCUUUUAAAGUUGUGUUCCAGUGCUGUUGCAGGGGAUCAGCAUGGUCCGUGGCCCAUUUUCUCUACCACCCCUCUAUCAAAAGCCAGUUCUGCCUUACAUAUGCAGUGCCCUCUGCUCUUGGCUUCCAACAGAAGGGCAGAGGACACAGGAAGUUGUGGUGAACAGAGAGGGGAGAAAGGGAUGCUAUUUCAGGAUUCGCCUCACAGUGAGCCAGCUGUCACCACACACAUUUGGGUGUGCCUGCUGUUCAUUAAAGCUCUUGGGACUUCUCAAGGUCUGGAUCCAACCUAGGAGUUCAGUGGCCAUCAGCUUCCAUUUCAUAGGUUUUAGUAGCAGCAAGGAACCUUCCUUGGAAACUUGAGGAAGUGCUUGCAGGGUUUUGGGAUCCAGCACUGUUCUCAGCAUCUGCAGCCAUACCUUUGGGGAACCACGUGGCUUUUCUUUCCUUCACCCAUAGCUUGCUUUCUCUACCUCAAUGUCUGAUAGCACCCCCAUAUCUCUAACCAUGGGCAUCCCAGAAAAGUCAGGAGCAACAAUAAAAUCAAUACAUUCUACCCACCCUUUCCUUCCUGCCAAUUUCUAGCUAUGUUCUGAAGGCGGGAAGUCUGUGCUUCUACACAGACUGAGUAAUAUUUUUUCCUAGCUUUUUUGUUUUGCUAUUGAUUUUUAAACUGCAAUCAAAAUGGACAUUUGUGUUUAGAUCGUUUAUCACAUUUAUUUACUAUGUGUGUGUAUGAGUGUGUGAGCGAGCGUUCAUGUGCAUGUUUCCAUACACGUGUGCUAAGAUAUAAGUGUGGAAGUUAGAGUACAACCUUCAUGAGUCAGUUCUCUCCUAUAUUGUGGGUCUCAGGAUUGAACUCAGGUUGUCAAGCUUGGCAGCAAGCCCCUUUACUCACUCACUGGGCCAUUUCACCAGCCCAUUGUUCAAUUCUUAUUUCCAAUAAUAACAUCAUAUACUACCUCUUCUAACAUACUGGGACUUGUCCAUGAUAAGCUUCUUGAUUUAGAGAGAAUAUGGCUUUGAAUAGUUUCCCAGUUAACAUAUUUGAUGGGUACAUUUUCUGGGUUGUUCAGAGUCUGAGAAGGUUUUGGUGUUUCUUCAUAUCUCAUUAAUCAAUUGCCCUUGGAGAAAACUUCUUUGCCCUGGAUCAUUCCUUCCUAUAAUUAUGCAACUGUUGUCUCUUGGUGAGAUGAAGCAAUGGCCUCUGGUCAGCCUGGUCUAGCCUUCCCUGAGGUGAGAUGACUUGUCCCCUGGCCCACUGCUUUGACCCCAAGUAUAUCUAGCUAUGUUUGCUCAUCCAUCUUUGGUGUGUCCAUUUUGCAGGAAGUUGCUGCUGGGCCUGCUUCAGACUUGACUCCCCAGCCUGGCUUUGAAUACGCUCUCUCCUGUUUCCCAGUAUCCUUAGCUUUUAUCCUGUUCUGUUACACUAGAAUGUGUCAAUCAGAAACUCAUCUCUUACCUCAGCCCACUUCCUCCCUUUACUUUUCCAGUCGGAUUCAUUGAAAAGCCAUCUGACUUUUCUCUGCUCCCGAGACUUUCAAUGUCCACCUGACCCUGCCUCAGAAUGUGCAUGCUGGUGUAGCAUCCCAGCAGGCAGCUGCUGUCUUCUGUAGCCAUUCUCCUCAGCCAGAGCAGAGCAGCUUAUCAGUGUGCACCUAGACACAGGUAGAGAACGCCUUGGUGUUGUUGGCCUGUCUUUUCUCUAUGUCACCUUUUAACCGUUUCUUUCGAGUCAUUCUCUGGGCCCUCCUUCCUUGGAUACAUCUUAAGGGCUUACUCUUCCCCUCCCAUCUCUCCACUCUCCUUUGGAAUGCUAUCUUCUAAGCCUUUGGCUCUAGGCAUCUGUCAUUUGCUCCCUGCUUUUGCCCCUCCUUUGCUGAGAACUCAUCCAUGGUCGCUCUCAAACAUAGACCAAAUUUCCCCUCUUCUGUGUCGAUCCUUAGCAAUCUGGUGCUGAAACUGGUGUUAGAAAUGCCUUCCUCAAAAGUUUGUUGUAAGAAUUAAAUGGAGGAAAAUAUGAAGCCCCUGUCAUCCAGUAAGUGUCCCAUGAAAUCUAGCCAUCAGUGGUGGCCUGACUAGUGUUUUACUAGUGUUUCUAAUUUGUACAACUUCAAGACUUGGGGGGCAGUCACCAUGUUUGAUUGUUUUUCUCCCUCUACCUACCUCUGUAAGCACUAUGUCUGAUAUAUAAUAGAAGUUUUAAACUGACUGUAAGGAAAUAAUCAAUGGGGUUAAAAGUAGAUCUCAAUAGUAGAUCUUUAAAAGCCUGUGUUCAGAUUCAACCAAGCCAGGAUCAAUGAACCGAUAUGUACUUCAGAGUACUGAAAAUAGGUGUCCAAGCCAAGCCUUAGUAUGAGCAUCCACAGAAGCACUCUUCAUAUCAGUCAAAGGGUAGAAAGGACCCAAUGAGGGGAAAAACACAAGCUGUCACAUCCACACAGUGGCCUGGUAUAAGCCAUACAAAAUGCAGGAAUAGCUAAUUCUUGCUUCAACAUGGAUAAAACUUAGCACAAGCGAAUGAAGCCCAGAGAGGCCACAUGCUGUGUGAUGCUAUCAUAGGAAAUGGCCAGCAUAAGCAACUCCAGUUCAUAGAAUGCAGGAUGGUAAGUUUGCCAGGACAUAGGGAGACGGGGUAUGGGAGUGGCUGUUUAAUAGAUUUAGGACAUUCUUAUUAGGGUGUUCCUAAUGGUGCUCAGCAUCAUAGACAUAAAAAAGCCACGAGACAAAUUUCACGUGCAUUUUACAAUCGUUUAAAAAAGCAGAAUUAGGGCUCAGUGGUUAAACCACCGUGUGCUGUGCAAGAAAGAGGACUAGAGUUGUAUCCCCGGAACCCUCAUCAAUGCUGUGCGGGAA
rnacentral:sRNA from 1 species